rnacentral:rRNA from 1 species
AGGACGAACGCUGGCGGCGUGCUUAACACAUGCAAGUCGAACGAGGUGCUUGCACCUAGUGGCGAACGGGUGAGUAACACGUGAGCAACCUGCCCUUGGCUCUGGGAUAGCCUCCGGAAACGGGGAUUAAUACCGGACAUGACCUUGGUCUGCAUGGACUGAGGUGGAAAGUUUUUCGGCCAGGGAUGGGCUCGCGGCCUAUCAGCUUGUUGGGGGGGUAACGGCCCACCAAGGCGACGACGGGUAGCCGGCCUGAGAGGGCGACCGGCCACACUGGGACUGAGACACGGCCCAGACUCCUACGGGAGGCAGCAGUGGGGAAUAUUGCACAAUGGGCGAAAGCCUGAUGCAGCGACGCCGCGUGCGGGAUGAAGGCCUUCGGGUUGUAAACCGCUUUCACCAGGGACGAAGCGAGAGUGACGGUACCUGGGGAAGAAGCGCCGGCUAACGUACGUGCCAGCAGCCGC